rnacentral:rRNA from 1 species
AUUGAACGCUGGCGGCAGGCCUAACACAUGCAAGUCGAGCGGAGCGGCGGACGGGUGAGUGAUGCCUAGGAAUCUGCAUGGUAGUGGGGGAUCACGUCCGGAAACGGGCGCUAAUACCGCAUACUUGAAGCUGAGCCUAGGUGGGAUUAGCUAGUUGGUGGGGUAAAGGCCUACCAAGGCGACGAUCCGUAACUGGUCUGAGAGGAUGAUCAGUCACACUGGAACUGAGACACGGUCCAGACUCCUACGGGAGGCAGCAGUGGGGAAUAUUGGACAAUGGGCGAAAGCCUGAUCCAGCCAUGCCGCGUGUGUGAAGAAGGUCUUCGGAUUGUAAAGCACUUUAAGUUGGGAGGCGUUACCAACAGAAUAAGCACCGGCUAACUUCGUGCCAGCAGCCGCGGUAAUUC